UAUUCCUGCCGGAUCGCCGCUCCGGUCCGUGAGACCGGGGAGGAAAGUCCGAACACCAAAGGGCACCGUGCUUCCUAACGGGAAGGCGCCGCCGAGGCGGCGACAGCAAGUGCAACAGAAAGCAAACCUGCCGAUGGCGCUCCGGCGCACAGGCCAUGGGUGAAACGGUGGGGUAAGAGCCCACCAGCGUCCCGCGAAAUCGGGGCGGCUAUGUAAACCUCACGGGGUGCAAGACCAAACAGCGCCGCAUCAUUCUGCGAGAAUGAACAAGGUAGCCCGUCUUGAGCAGUGGCGCGGGUAGGUCGCUCGAGGCCGUCGGCGACGACGGUCCCAGAUAAAUGGCGAUCUCGCCGCAAGCGGUGCAGCGGCUGCUGCUGCGGUCAGACAGAAUUCGGCUUACAGGCAGGAAGCGCCG
rnacentral:RNase_P_RNA from 2 species